UAUAUAUAACCCUAAUACCCAAAUCACAGUUUCCUCUCAUCUCUUCACCUUCAUCACGACUGAAUCCUCCACAACCCUAAUAUCCCUGUAAAGACUGCACACCAAUUCAUCAAACCUCCGUCCACCGCCAUGAGUUUUAUCAAUUGUGUACUUCGAUCACGAUUCAGUUCUGGUGAUCUACGCAGCCACCAUCACACUUUGCCGUAAACCUUUGUUCGAUGGAGCUUUCGGUCGUACCGUAACUACCAUUGCGCCAUCAGGAAAUUAGUUUGAAUUCUGUGAUAUUCAACACACCUAGCAAGAAUUUCAACGACUUAAAGCUCUAAAUUCAUUCACUAAGAAUGACACUGAAGAGUUCAUUGAUGAUCGUGAAUUAGCUCAACAGAAAGCUGAAGCAGCAGUUAUAACAAAGAUACAUUAGAUUUGGUGUGUGAGUGUGAGGAUCUGUUAUUAAAGGAGUUUGGAUUGUUGAAGAAGAACCCUUGAUAUAACAUCCAGUGGGCGGUGGUCAAGCCUAUCCGUGAGCCACAUGUAGCUGUCCAGAAAGUUGUUUAGGGUAAUCCUAAUCCUAGAAAUAUUUGUUGAAGCCAAAUCUUACACUUAUCUAUACACUGAUGAAGAAAAUGAUACGAUUGUGCUAAUGGAGAGGCAAUACCAGCCGCCAAUGGGAAUGAUAGGUAACCAAUCUUACGCUCUGGUAUGCAUCAUCUGAAUGUUGAUGACACUGAUCAUACUUCAAGAGCUGCAGAAUCUUGUCAAAGCUCUCAAACCACCAUGGCAUUUCAGUACCCCAGGCCCAAAGAUCUUAGUGAAGUUGCAUGGUUGAAUUGGGAUGAUCAUGAUUGUCUCAGGACGUUUAUAGGGUCUGGAAUAGAGGUCAUGGUUGGGGUCUAAUGAUAUGUUGGCUGCUGUUAGUUCAUCUACUGUUGCUUCUGCUUUGUGGGUUGCUCAAAAUGUUACCGCAUACAUGGUUAAGGGUGGAGCUAAUAUAAAAGAUUACUUCGUCUUCCCCUGUAUAAUCUUCGUCUGCCCCUGUAUAAUCGAACUCCAGUUGUCUCAAUUUCUCAAACCAAAUCAAACCCUGAAUUUGAAAUUCCGGUUUUAACUUUUCGACGAAGUGGAGAUAAAGAUGUUACGAUCUCCGGCACCAGUAAGAGAAGAUGAUUGGUGCUUCCGAUUAUCAUGUCAAUUUGUUGUUUAUGUGGUCAAUAAACGACAGUUCGAUCUCAGAUCUGAAGGUUACAACUCAUAAUAACAUAUUCGUCUGUUUGAUGUUCUAUAAGGUUACGUAAUCCACCCUACCCUGUAUAGCAUCCUCUGAGUUUCCCACUCGUCACCGGAAUCCACCUUUUCAGAAGCCGGCCAUGGAAACUAGCCGUAAACCUUUGCACCUGAAUCUCUGUCUUAUCAGGUUUGAAGCCUCCGUCUCCCUACAUAAGUUGUUGGUUUAUGCUUUGUAUGGUGCUCGAUGAAAUGCGGCGGCCAGAGCCAGUGCAGGAGAUGGAACCAGGGUGGCAUCAGAAGAGCCGAAAGGUGUCGUUUUUUGUUUUCUCAUAUGGAACUAUUGUGGUUGACAUUAGCGCUAUUUUCAAAAACAUCAUGGAUCGCUAUCAGUUGUAUCGAAUGGCAAGUUAAUCAGGCGAGCGCUACUAGAUGUAAUAUUAUUGUGCGAGUAAGCAAAGUUAUGUUUGAAGAAGAGGCCUCGCAAAUCCUAAGUAACAUUAUCUUCCUUGAGAUCCCGUCAGUAGUAACGAAGUUUUGAAGAAAUCACUCGGUUUAUGGACCAGCCGUAAAUGCGCAGAGGCUGUUCUUCGAGGUGAAGAUGAGGAGAAUAAAGAUGGUAAUGUUAAUCAGUGGGUAGCUCUAGCUGUGGUUCAAACGUAUAAUCCCAACGCAAAGUGCCUUGUAGCAGUAUCUAUAUUCCUGAACGCUUGUCGAAAGCUUCGUUUUCUGCUGCUCAAAAGUCGGGAAUAAAUACGGAGAUACGAAAAGUGCAUUCUCAGAUCCAAGAAUCAGCAAGAGUGCUUUUUUCUUUGUGGGCAACCAUUUUUAUAUGAAUUCCGGUACAUGAAAAGAAGAACUCCAGUGGGGUGAUUUUGGGCAAAGGUGAGGAAGAUCAUAGCAGAUUUAGACCAUUAAGCUACAGAGGUGCAAACAUAUGUGUUAGCUUUUUCUCUAAUUAGUCGGGCAAGCUAUGAGAAUGUUUUAAAAAGGUUCAACUACAACACAGAAGCUGAACUCAUGUGAAAAAGAGCUACUGCAGUUGUAGCUAUAUAAGGGAGUAAAGAUAUGGUCAUAGAUAACUACUAAGUAACUUAUCCCACGUGAAGACGCAAAGAUUAACAAAUGGGUAUUCAUGAAACAAACAACUACCAAGAUGAUGAUGAAGAAUGCAAGAAACAAAGAAUUCACCUUUGAAAGUUGUUGCAGCGUGAGAGCGUUCCUCAAGACUUCAUGGUUGUAGAAAAAGGAGAGAACACAAAGCAAAAAAAGUGUCGAAAUAAAAAGAGAUGGCUAAUCGGCUUUUGUUUAUAAUUUUGUGGCAGUCACAAGAACAAACACGUCUGACCAAAAAAUUAUGAACAGUUUUAUUUGUUUAUAAAAUGCUUCACUCAGAUCUCAUGUAUUUGUUUAAUA